rnacentral:tRNA from 1 species
GAGUAGCUCAGUUGGAUAGAGCAACAGCCUUCUAAGCUGUGGGUCUUGGGUUCGAAUCCCAAC